GAUGAACGCUGGCGGCGUGCCUAAUACAUGCAAGUCGAGCGAACAGACGAGGAGCUUGCUCCUCUGACGUUAGCGGCGGACGGGUGAGUAACACGUGGAUAACCUACCUAUAAGACUGGGAUAACUUCGGGAAACCGGAGCUAAUACCGGAUAAUAUAUUGAACCGCAUGGUUCAAUAGUGAAAGACGGUUUUGCUGUCAAUUAUAGAUGGAUCCGCGCCGCAUUAGCUAGUUGGUAAGGUAACGGCUUACCAAGGCAACGAUGCGUAGCCGACCUGAGAGGGUGAUCGGCCACACUGGAACUGAGACACGGUCCAGACUCCUACGGGAGGCAGCAGUAGGGAAUCUUCCGCAAGGGGCGAAAGCCUGACGGAGCAACGCCGCGUGAGUGAUGAAGGUCUUCGGAUCGUAAAACUCUGUUAUUAGGGAAGAACAAAUGUGUAAGUAACUAGGCACGUCUUGACGGUACCUGAUCAGAAAGCCACGGCUAACUACGUG
rnacentral:rRNA from 1 species